GACUCCAUGAAGCUGGAUUCGCUAGUAAUCGCGCAUCAGCCACGGCGCGGUGAAUACGUUCCCGGGGCCCUUGUACACACCGCCCGUCAAGCCAUGGGAGUCGGGAGUGCCUGAAGUGCGUGAGCGCGAGCAGCGCCCUAGGGCAAAACCGAUGACUGGGGCUAAGUCGUAACAAGGUAGC
rnacentral:rRNA from 1 species